rnacentral:lncRNA from 1 species
CUUGCCAAGUGGAUAAACAAGAGUUCCCAGGAAUAACUAACUUUCGCUGAUGUCUUCUGGUCCCAACCACACCUGCAGGCAAACCCUAUCCCAGGUCUGUGUCGAAGCAAUAGAAGCACGGCCUUGGGAAAGGCAGUCAGAGGGUCAAAGACCAGCUCCACCACGGACCCAGAAUGCUUGCGUGGAGGAUUGCAUUACCCUCUUUGAGUGUAUUUACCUCAUGUAUAAUGGAGGAGAAUGUAGAAUGUGAAAGAGAGAAGGCAGCAUUGACCACCAGAGUGGUGGUGGAUGAUUAAAUGAGAUAUCAUGCAGUAGACAGGGCUCCAAUCCGUGGCCACCAGCUUCAUAGCUAAAGACAUCCACAUCGGAGACAGUGUGGCGCUUGUUGAAAACGUCUGUGGUUAAGGCCCAAAAAACUGCAUUUCCGAAAAAAAUUCCAAGGACAAUCUCAUGCAGGGAAAGAGCCCCACCAUUAAACAAACAAUCUAGGAUGGAAACCUCCAAAAGCUCUAGGGGCAGCAAGAAUGACUCAGCUGGAGCACGGUCUCUAUUUUCCAGGUGUUCUUCUGCUCGAUUCCAGUCAUGGACACCUCACUCCUUAGGGUUAGCGAGUUCCCAAUGCCCUGCAGCCUGGACUCUCUCAGUGGAACUCAGGGGAACGCAACCUCAAACCUCAUCUAUGAACCAGGUCCUCACCCUCAAAAUCCAGGACAGUGUGCAAACCCAACAGGCAACAGCAUCCACCCAGGAGGAGGGAUAUGUUUGCAUGUCUCUUGGCCCAGAUUAUCUGAGAGAACAGAGCAGUCACAACAUAGAAGAGAACAGAGAAAAAUCAUAUGGAUUUCAGCUUUGCCAGGAUGUCGGUGAAGUCAGACGAAUGAGCAUAAACUCAUUGGAGGAACUCUCUCAAGAAGGGUUUAAUCGUUGACAAAAAUAGAUGAUCGUGGGGUGUGUUCUUUCUGGCUGCAAGGAAUAAAAGACCGAACUUGCUGAAGAAGCAGUGUGUUCCUGGCGAUUUGGCUUAAGGGAAUUGAUACCAGCUUUCCAGGAGGAGCAGCUGUAAACACCCAGCCUCAGGAAGAAAGGUUAUGUUCUCUGUGAGAUAUCUAGGCUCUGAAACUCCACAACUUGUUUUCACCCUUAAAGAAAAAACAGAUUCUUUCCACCGAAUCCUUUUAGUAACCAACGUGAACCUUAGGAAUUUAGGCAGGAUUUUUCCACGUCUGAUUUAAAGUCGAGAGAUUGAGGACAAGGCGAAGAGAGAAUCUAGUUAAGAGAGAACGUGCAGGACAAAUAUAGCUUAAAAGGACCUGGGAUCAGUGAAAACCCGGUGUCCCUCGCGGGGCCUGACCACCCUCCCUUCAUCUGACAGAUGAACCAGCCCACCUAUUACCCAACGAAAGGCGGGCGCCGGUCCUCUCUGCCAGGUCUCUCUAGCCCCAGGCUGCCGCAGCCUGGGCUCUUCUCCCUUGUCUAACCGCGCCAGCGCCAGAAGACCUGGAGUCCAAGAAUUGUGUGGAGAUAGCUACACUACCAUCGUGUGAUAUCCUAAGAAUCAGAAAUUUCUGUUGGUGACAAAGUGACAGGACUGUCAUAUGCCCACAUUCAGACGGAAAAGCUACAUUUCUUGAAGAAAUUAGUCAAGUAAAGACGUCAUUCUCCCACCCACCUUAGAUGUAGGACGUUUUGCAGCGCAUGUCGCUGGAUCGCGUGGCAAGGGCUGUUCUAGGCGGUUUUGGUGACCGGCGGCCUCCAUCAAAGGCAUGGAGCACUUGGCCGGCUCUGUGGGGUCUCCUCCCGCAAAGGGGCAGGGCCCCUCCCCCUUCCUUUUCCUAGGAAACUGCGGGACACUGUUCCCAACUCCUCUCCCCUGGUGAGUGUGAGAGCGUCAUGACUGCUCGUUUCUUCCCCGGAAAUCCUGUUCCUCCUAGCUGUCCUUACCAGACACACCUUUUGAGUUCAUCUUUCUUCUCCUUUUAUUCCCUCAAAAUCUUGCUCCCAUUUCUAAAUCACAUCCUUGGCCUGAGCCUGAAAAUCUUUUGCUGUUGCUCUUAUUCCUUCUAUGGUAGUUUUAGUCGUCAAGCGCUCUUGUUCUAAAGUGGUCUCCGGAUGAAGCGCCAUCCCCAGGCGUGAGGCCUAGCACCGCACGGCCUAAACCGGGAGGGUGAUGACGUCAC